AUUCUGACAGAUAAUUAAGAAAGCAGCAGCUUUUUCUAGACGGCUCUUCCUCAUGAUUUGCAUUUUAGCCAGAGGCGACCAGUUAUAAAAAAAACAUGAUGGAAAGAUGGUAAGAAGCCAAUUAGAUGGAUGGAUGGCUGACUGACAGCUCUCUGGUAUUACGACUCCAGAUUUCAGACUACAUAGCCUGGCAGUUUUCUACAAGAACCAACUUUUUUGCAGGUUAAAGAGACAUGUUUCUAAAUAAAAAACAAAGUGUGUCAUCAUCAAAACAAAACUACAUCUCACCACAAAACUUAUGAGGUUGUGCCUGGAAAAUGUAGUAAAAUUCAUUGGAGCCUAUUUCUACCAUCAUUUUCAUAUUAAACUUUGCAAUUUGAGUGACUGGAAUUUGAACUUAAACAGUGAAGGGAAGCAUAAAGAAGGUCAUACAUAUGCUAUUGGAGAGUUCACAGCUAGCCCCUCACUACUCAAAUUGUGGGUGUUAUUGCCAGACUGCGGAGAUGCACAAGAAUUGACUUGAGAAGCAAGGAGAUUAUUCAUGCUCCUGCACACUCUGUUAUCUCUGGGAGCUCUUAAUCAAUGCAGGGUGAGAGCCAGUUAGCAUGACUGAGGUUAGGGUAAACGGGCUGUUCAGGGAAAGAUAAAUUAAAAUGUGAUUAUUAUUCAAAUUGGAAUAUAGAGAACAUAAUCCAUGAUGGAAGAGAAGGAGAAUAAUAGAAAUAAAUAAAAAUUUACCUACUGAAUCACUUGCUCUAUUGAAUCUAGUCCUUGAAAUUCCAAAGACAUUAUAAUAUGCUAUGACUAAAGGGAAUGAUUUGGGAGAUUUAUACUCUAUCUUUAUUGGCUCCUGCAGAUAUGCUGAAAUACAAAUUCUCACAUGCUGGAAAUGUCUACUAAAUGUACCUUGAUAUACAAAUUAAAUUCUCCUAUAGAAAACUGUACUGUACUCAAAAACCUAUAUACAAAUAAAAAGACUAAAUUCUAAAUAA
ensembl:lncRNA novel transcript